UAUUAGUCUACUGGUACAAUGCGUUUCCAGUCCUGGAUUUCUAUACAAUACUAAUGCUGAUAUGUGUUAUUUCAUUGGUUCGCCUGUGAAUGUGGAUUUUGGCGACAUUAAACAACUGUGUUUAGAUAUGGAUAGUGAUCUCAUUCGAAUAGAUUCAGCAACCAAGCAAAUGUUUGUUCAGCAGAUACUGGUUAAUGAUGUAUCUGAUAGGGUCUGCAUUCAGGGAAAUAAUGACAAUACCAUUAAGACCUACAGAUUCGAUAACGAAACGAACAUGACGUAUUUCAACUGGAACACAGCUUCAUCACAGCCGGACAAUACUUGGUAUAAACAUUAUUUAAUGAUGCUCAAGAACUACAAUUAUCUAUGGCAUAAUAUUCAACAGCAACGAUUAGAUGUUCAGUGCGCUUAUAUUUGUGAAAAGUGAAUAAAACUAAAACAGGAGGAGGAAGGUAUUGCUAAAUUUGAAAGAUACAGAUGAGUGACAAUUUUCAAGUCUCAUGUAAAACAUGUCCUUUUACUUGUAUAAUUUUGUAAUUUAUGUAAAUGCAUUUGAUUAAUUAGUCAUUUAAUAUUCCAUCGGCACAUGCUAUUUCCACUGUAAGGAUUCUACUGAUUCGUUAUACUAUCUAAUUUUAUUGCUAUUUGGUUGUUACUCACAAGGGAGUUACUAAGCCAAUGUUCAUCUUCCAUAAGAUUCACUUUUUGUAUUAGAAAAAAAACAUUAAAACAAAUUGUUAAAUUAUUUAAAUGCAAUAAAAAGAGCUUAAGUA